AGGGAGGGUUGGGUUUAUGGCCACCACAUUGUUUAUGUGCCAAUGUCCAUUCUAAAGCCAGGAACAUGUAGUACAGUGGUUGUUGUUCAUAAUUCAUGUCGGUCAAGUUUUUUUUUCGUAAAUUAUUUUGUUAUCAAUAAGGCUAUUUAGUUUUGUUUGAUUUUUGUUUUUAAAUCUUAAUGGUCGGGGCAUUUAAUAGCCGACUAAAUAGAGUUUUUUUUUCAUUUUUGGAGGCCGCUCGGUGGCCUUUAAAGACUUACUACCACGUCAUUGUAACUCUGGUUGAUACUUGUAUCAUUAGUGCUGGACCAUGGUCGAUCCUAUGCACCUUUGAGGCAGGCGGGAUAUUUUUGUAGAUCUUGUACAGCUCAAACUAAUGGGAGUAGUUCCUGUACUUCUAUGUCUUGUCCCAUGUUGCAUGGUUGGAGAGGGUGUAAUAUCUUCUGUAGGUUUGAUGAAGUUUCACCCGUAUCGGACUUCUUCUCCUAAAUGAAAGCUUUAAGGCGACGAGUAUUUUUGUAUGCAAUGUGCCCUUAACGUGUCUCAAACUUAUCUGUAGCGUUUUCAACGCUCGUGCAGCGUGUAUAUUAUGUACGUGCAGUUUACAGGUAUACGCUUGACAAACGCUUGAGCUGAAUGAAAUUUUUUAUGUUCCAUUAAAAUUUUCCUGAAGGAAAAGCGUUCACCAAGCGUAUACCUUUGCUUUUCGACGUACUUCAGACUUAUGGAACGCGAGUUUGUGAUGGUUUUUUUUUUUUUUUGUGUGGGUUUAAAUGCUUGCGUAGCGUUCCUCUGGUGAGCAACUAAGUUACGCAUACGAUGAUACGGACUUUGUUAAUUUUCUUUUUUGACUGAUUAUUUUACAUUGUCUUUUCGGGGCCUUUUAUAGCCGACUAUGCGGUACGUGCUUUGUCUGUUGUUGAAGGCCGUACGGAGACCCAUAGUUUGUACUUCUGUGUUAUUUUGGUUUCUUGUAGAUAGUUGUCUCAUUGACACCAAACCAUAUCUUCUUUUUUAUAUUCGAUAUCUUAUCGCCGACCUGGUUAAGUCUGCUAAAAAUGCAUGCAUGAUUCAUUUUUAGGUUAUCAGUCGUAAUGAAAGUGGCACAUUUAAUUCGUAGUUUCAUUGCUUGAAGUAUCAUUUCUUACAUCUGCAUGGUCAAAUGUGUAUUUUUUUAAAACAAAUUUUAGAUUUAGAUUUCAGUCACGGUUAUUUCCCCCCUUUUCAUAUUGAAUAUCUAUACUUAUCAGUCGCAUUUUAAUGACGAAAAGGAUUCAGAGGUUAUUAUGUGACCUCCUUGUUUUAAAAAAAAAGUAAAUAAUGUUGCAAUAUUUAAACAAAGAAAAUAACUUUAAAUUUGCAAUAUUAAUGAAAUAGAUACGGACAUAACUUUCAUAAUUAAUUUUAACGUUAUUUUCAAUAAACGAUUUUUUUUUUUGAAAAAUCCUCGUUUUUACACCUAUUUGAGGCACGUAUUUAUGAUUCCCAUGUCCUUGGUCUAUCCUAGACGUAAAAUUUCAAAAAGUG
rnacentral:lncRNA from 1 species